ACAGGGUGACAGGUGGUGCAUGGUUGUCGUCAGCUCGUGUCGUGAGAUGUUGGGUUAAGUCCCGCAACGAGCGCAACCCUCGACCUUAGUUGCCAGCAUUCAGUUGGGCACUCUAAGGUGACUGCCGGCUAAAAGUCGGAGGAAGGUGGGGAUGACGUCAAGUCCUCAUGGCCCUUAUGGGUAGGGCUUCACACGUCAUACAAUGGUCGGUACAGAGGGUUGCCAAGCCGCGAGGUGGAGCCAAUCCCUUAAAGCCGAUCGUAGUCCGGAUCGUAGUCUGCAACUCGACUACGUGAAGUCGGAAUCGCUAGUAAUCGCAGAUCAGCAUGCUGCGGUGAAUACGUUCCCGGGUCUU
rnacentral:rRNA from 1 species